rnacentral:tRNA from 1 species
AGGGGCGUAGUUCAAAUUGGUAGAGCACCGGUCUCCAAAACCGGUAGUUGGGAGUUCAAGUCUCUCCGCCCCUGCAA